CGCGGAGUAGUGUAACGGCAACAUAUCAGCCUCAUGAGCUGAAGUUAAGAGGUUCGAGUCCCUUUUUCGCGU
rnacentral:tRNA from 1 species